CAAAACAACCAGGAGGUUGGCUUAGAAGCAGCCACCUUUUAAAGAAAGCGUAAUAGCUCACUGGUCUAAAUAAGCCGCCUUGCGCCGAAGAUGUACCGGGGCUCAAGCCGUACACCGAAGCUGCGGACUCCUUAAUGGAGUGGUAGCGGAGCGUUCCGUAGGUCUGUGAAGGGAUACCCGCGAGGGGUCCUGGAGAUAUCGGAAGUGCGAAUGCUGACAUGAGUAGCGAUAAAGAGUGUGAGAAACACUCUCGCCGAAAUCCCAAGGGUUCCUGCGCAAGGCUAAUCCGCGCAGGGUGAGCCGGCCCCUAAGGCGAGGCCGAAAGGCGUAGUCGAUGGGAACCAGGUUAAUAUUCCU
rnacentral:rRNA from 1 species